UUUUCCCACCCACUUUCAACUCCAAGAAAAAAGAUUAAAGCUGAAGAAAGAAAGACGUGGUUUAUUCUGGAAGAAAGGAAUUACAAAUGUCAGAAUAAUGAUGAGACAACAUCAACAAAGACCUGGAAGCAGCAGCUAACAGAGAGAAUGAACAGCAACAGACCUUUCAAGAGGUCUCAGAAGAAGACCCUACUAUGCUGUGGAUCUAGAGUUAACUUAAAACAGAGAGAAUUGUGUUAAAAUGAAGACAAAAAGACUGAGAACAGGCAUCACUGGAAGGGCUGUGAGGGUGAGUUAUGU
rnacentral:lncRNA from 1 species